UUGCAACCCGUACUUAAGUUCUCUUGGUCUUAAUGAGGGGCGUGCUGUCCCCCCACCCCUUCCGGGACCCGCUUCCCGGGGGCUCCCAGUUGCUGCCCGCCCUGCGCUCAGGGCGACUCGCCCGUCCGCCGCGCGGCUCCGGCCACCAGGGGGCGCUGCGGCCCCUCUCCCGGGAGCGGCCGAGCCAGCCCGGUGGGUGUUUCUCUCCCUCUCGCGCUCUCUCCUCCCGGCCUCACAUCCGGGUCUGGAGCGCGGCCGCGGCUGUCAGUGUUGGUGCGGCCGCGUCGGGGGCCGGGCCGGGGCGCAGUAAAUGGCGGCGGAGGUAGGCGGAGCGGCGGCCGCGCUCAGCCCAGAACCCCCAAAACUUUAGACUUGAAGCCUCACAACUUUCGGGAAGUGCUGCCGCUCCGGGGGCGUGGACGGAAGAGGAAUCGAGGCGGGAAGCGCCGGGGAGCCUCGAACCCGCGGCGGAGGAGGUGGCGGAGCCCGUCUGCCUCGCGCCGCCGCGGCCCCCGCCUCCUCCCGCAGCCGCCGAGCCGAGCCGCGCGCCGCGCUGAGCCUGGGGCUGCGCGGGGCCUCUCAGGCGGCGGCGCGCCGAGCCCAGCCGAGCCCCCUGCUCGCGACCUCCGGGCCCUGUUGCUCGGGCGCACCCCGCGCGCGUGAGGCCGGGACUGGGGCUCCCAGCGGCUUUGAGGGGAGAGGAGGACGCCAGGCCGCGUGCAGCUCUUGCUGUCCCGGUGUCGUGGGGCCGGGCCGCGGGUGUUGCAUGCGGGGCAGGGCGGCCGUGAGCCGGAGGCGAAGAUGGAAGGCUUAACGUUGAGCGAUGCGGAGCAGAAAUACUAUUCGGAUCUCUUCUCCUACUGCGACAUCGAGAGCACCAAGAAGGUGGCGGCCAAUGGUCGGGUGCUGGAGCUAUUCCGGGCCGCGCAGCUGCCCAACGACGUGGUCCUCCAGAUUAUGGAGCUUUGUGGUGCAACAAGACUUGGUUAUUUUGGAAGAAGUCAAUUCUAUAUAGCUUUGAAACUUGUAGCUGUUGCCCAGUCUGGUUUCCCUUUAAGAGUGGAAAGUAUAAAUACAGUAAAGGACCUUCCUCUGCCAAGAUUUGUUGCUUCAAAGAAUGAACAGGAAUCUCGCCAUGCAGCCUCAUAUUCUUCAGAUUCUGAAAAUCCGGGGUCUUAUUCUGGUGUUAUUCCCCCACCACCUGGCAGGGGGCAAGUGAAAAAGGGGUCUGUGAGCCAUGAUACUGUCCAGCCUCGCACAUCUACAGAUCAGCAGGAACCUGUAUCUCCUGUAGUUUCGCCACAGCAGUCCCCACCAACUUCUCCACACACAUGGAGGAAGCACAACCGUCACCCCAGUGGGGGAAAUAGUGAGAGGCCUCUUGUAGGACCCGGGCCAUUUUGGUCUCCCUUUGGUGAAGCACAAUCAGGUUCAUCUGCUGGUGAUGCAGUCUGGUCUGGCCAUUCUCCACCUCCACCGCAAGAAAAUUGGGUCAGUUUUGCAGAUACUCCACCAACCAGUACUCUUUUAACCAUGCAUCCUGCUUCUGUCCAGGACCAGACAACAGUACGAACUGUAGCAUCAGCUACAACUGCCAAUGAAAUUCGUAGGCAAUCAAGUAGUUAUGAUGAUCCCUGGAAAAUAACAGAUGAACAAAGACAGUAUUAUGUAAAUCAAUUUAAAACCAUUCAGCCUGAUCUAAAUGGAUUUAUUCCAGGAUCUGCAGCUAAAGAAUUUUUUACAAAAUCAAAACUUCCUAUUCUUGAACUUUCUCAUAUUUGGGAACUCUCAGACUUUGAUAAAGAUGGAGCAUUGACACUGGAUGAGUUCUGUGCUGCUUUUCAUCUGGUAGUUGCUAGGAAAAAUGGCUAUGAUUUACCGGAAAAACUCCCUGAAAGCUUAAUGCCCAAAUUGAUUGAUUUGGAAGAUUCAGCAGAUGUUGGGGAUCAGCCAGGUGAGGUAGGUUAUUCAGGCUCUCCUGCAGAAGCGCCUCCGAGCAAGUCACCAUCAAUGCCGUCAUUAAACCAGACUUGGCCUGAGCUGAACCAGAGCAGUGAGCAGUGGGAGACAUUUAGUGAACGCUCUUCAAGCUCACAAACUCUGACCCAAUUUGAUUCUAACAUUGCACCAGCUGAUCCUGAUACUGCUAUUGUUCAUCCAGUUCCCAUUCGGAUGACUCCAAGCAAAAUCCACAUGCAGGAAAUGGAACUUAAGAGAACUGGCAGUGAUCAUACUAAUCCCACUAGCCCAUUACUUGUGAAAACUUCUGACCUUUCAGAAGAAAAUAAGAUAAAUUCAUCAGUGAAAUUUGCUUCUGGAAAUACUGUAGCAGAUGGUUACAGUAGUUCAGACUCUUUUACUUCGGACCCAGAACAGAUUGGGAACAAUGUAACUCAUCAAAGGUCUCAUUCAGGAGCAUCACCUGAUAACACUGCACCACCACCUCCCCCACCAAGGCCACAGCCCUCUCAUUCUAGAUCAUCGUCUUUAGAUAUGAAUCGGACCUUUACAGUUACCACAGGACAACAGGCUGGAGUUGUUACCCAUCCUCCCGCAGUGCCUCCAAGACCACAGCCUUCGCAGGCCCCUGGUCCCGCUGUGCAUCGCCCAGUGGAUGCUGAUGGCCUAAUAACUCACACCAGUACCUCACCUCAGCAGAUACCAGAACAACCGAAUUUUGCAGAUUUCAGCCAAUUUGAAGUAUUUGCUGCAUCAAAUGUAAAUGAAGAACAAGAUGAUGAAGCUGAGAAACAUCUUGAGGUCUUGCCGGUUGAAAAAGCUUCUGAUCCUGCAAGUUCUCUUCGAGUUGCCAAAACAGAUAGUAAAAUAGAAGAGAAGACAGUUGCCUGUGCUCCCACCAAUGUGAGCAAGGGUACAACACCUCUUGCUCCACCACCUAAACCUGUUCGAAGAAGAUUAAAAUCAGAAGAUGAGUUAAGGCCAGAAGUUGAUGAACACACACAAAAGACAGGUGUCUUAGCUGCUGUUCUUGCACCACAACCUUCUAUUCCUAGGUCUGUUGGGAAAGAUAAGAAAGCUAUUCAGGCAUCAAUUAGACGCAAUAAAGAAACCAACACAGUUUUGGCCAGAUUGAAUAGUGAAUUGCAGCAACAAUUAAAGGGACUUAAACAGGUCUAAAGAAGAGAGAUUGGGAGCAAUUUAGAUCAUCUUGCAUGUGGAAAAGAAAAAACAAGCCUUUAAAUAGAAAUGGUGCUUAUGGCCAGUGUGUACUUCUGUCAUCUAUACUUGAGAGGAAUGGGUUUCUUGUUUCUUUCUUACUACUGACCAUGAUUUCUUUGAAUCCCUGCGAAUGAAUAUGAACAGCCAGAAUCAUUUAUGAUUCACCAACAUUAGAUGUUCUUGAGGAGAGAAUUUCCCUGGAAGUUCAACUGGAACAACUCCGACCAUUCUCUCACCUAUAAAGCCAAUUGCCGUUAACUGUGAACAUACCCAUUUUUAGGCGGUUCUGGGUUCAAGCCAAUUUGGAGACCCAAACAUUCAGCUCACUGCUUAAUUCAACAUUAAAUUUUAUGAUUCUGUUUUGCCCUAUAUGUUCACCAUUGUAUUUAAGUGUCUUUUAUUUUUUAAUUUCAACAAUAAAAGGGUCAGGAUGACUUUUUCUGGA